rnacentral:rRNA from 1 species
GAUGAACGCUGACAGAAUGCUUAACACAUGCAAAUCUAUGUAAAUUAAUAGUGCUUGCACUACUAAGGAGCAUGGUGGACUGGUGAGUAACGUGUAAAGAACUUGCCUCUUAGACUGGGAUAACAAGUGGAAACGCUUGAUAAUACUAGAUAUUAUGAUACUAAGGCAUCUUGGUAACAUGAAAGGAUAAGAUUACUAAG